rnacentral:snRNA from 1 species
AUGGCGUGUUUGGUCUCAUACUCGAACGUCCCCCUCGCCUUUUACUAGGGAGACCCGGGGAUCAAGCACAAAUGCCAUAUUACCAAUCUUUCGCAACCACCUUGGUGGUC